GAUGAACGCUGGCGGCGUGCCUAAUACAUGCAAGUCGAGCGAACGGACGAGAAGCUUGCUUUUCUGAUGUUAGCGGCGGACGGGUGAGUAACACGUGGAUAACCUACCUAUAAGACUGGGAUAACUUCGGGAAACCGGAGCUAAUACCGGAUAAUAUUUUGAACCACAUGGUUCAAAAGUGAAAGACGGUCUUGCUGUCACUUAUAGAUGGAUCCGCGCUGCAUUAGCUAGUUGGUAAGGUAACGGCUUACCAAGGCAACGAUGCAUAGCCGACCUGAGAGGGUGAGCGGCCACACUGGAACUGAGACACGGUCCAGACUCCUACGGGAGGCAGCAGUAGGGAAUCUUCCGCAAUGGGCGAAAUCCUGACGGAGCAACGCCGCGUGAGUGAUGAAGGUCUUCGGAUCGUAAAACUCUGUUAUUAGGGAAGAACAUAUGUGUAAGUAACUGUGCACAUCUUGACGGUACCUAAUCAGAAAGCCACGGCUAACUACGUG
rnacentral:rRNA from 1 species